CCUACGGGUGGCAGCAGUAGGGAAUAUUGCUCAAUGGGGGAAACCCUGAAGCAGCAACGCCGCGUGGAGGAUGAAGGUUUUCGGAUUGUAAACUCCUUUUGUUAGAGAAGAUAAUGACGGUAUCUAACGAAUAAGCACCGGCUAACUCCGUGCCAGCAGCCGCGGUAAUACGGAGGGUGCAAGCGUUACUCGGAAUCACUGGGCGUAAAGAGCGUGUAGGCGGGAUAGCAAGUCAGAUGUGAAAUCCUAUGGCUUAACCAUAGAACUGCAUUUGAAACUGGUAUUCUAGAGUAUGGGAGAGGUAGGUGGAAUGCUUGGUGUAGGGGUAAAAUGCGUAGAGAUCAAGAGGAAUACUCAUUGCGAAGGCGACCUGCUAGAACAUAACUGACGCUGAUGCGCGAAAGCGUGGGGAGCAAACAGGAUUAGAUACCCCAGUAGUC
rnacentral:rRNA from 1 species